rnacentral:rRNA from 1 species
UACGGGGGGGGCAAGCGUUGUUCGGAAUUACUGGGCGUAAAGGGCUUGUAGGCGGCCAACUAAGUCCGACGUGAAAUCCCCAGGCUUAACCUGGGAACUGCGUCGGAUACUGGAUGGCUUGAGUGCGGGAGAGGGAUGUGGAAUUCCAGGUGUAGCGGUGAAAUGCGUAGAUAUCUGGAGGAACACCGGUGGCGAAGGCGGCAUCCUGGACCGACACUGACGCUGAUGCGCGAAAGCCAGGGGAGCAAACGGG